UCCCGGGAACGUAUUCACCGCGUCAUGCUGUUACGCGAUUACUAGCGAUUCCGACUUCAUGCCGUCGAGUUGCAGACCCCGAUCCGAACUGAGAUGGCUUUUUGGGAUUAGCCCAUUGUCACCACCAUUGUAGCACGUGUGUAGCCCAACCCGUAAGGGCCAUGAGGACUUGACGUCAUCCACACCUUCCUCCGGCUUAUCACCGGCAGUUCUCCUAGAGUGCCCAACUGAAUGCUGGCAACUAAGAGUGUGGGUUGCGCUCGUUGCCGGACUUAACCGAACAUCUCACGACACGAGCUGACGACA
rnacentral:rRNA from 1 species